rnacentral:lncRNA from 1 species
GAGUGACGUCAGGGAGCCGCGCGACAACGUGGGCCGCUCUAGUCUCCAGGCGGCGGUGCUCAGUGGUCGGUUACUGGCACUAGAACUACUUUAUGAGCAUAAUUCCUUGGACCAUAAUCGUCACCUGAGGAAGCCGCGUGAGACACCAGUCUUAGGAUUCCAAAGUGAAGAGGAACGUGCCCUCCUCGAUGAACGCCUGUGGAAGCCUUUGAGCAGCCCUUUCAUGGCGGAAGAGAGGGCAACUCUGAGGUGAUGGAGCAGCGGCUAGGCAGAGGGCUGCUGAGGAAGCAGAGGGAGGAUCGCUUCAGCUCUCGGCAGGCUGGAGCCUCAGAGCAAACCUCAAGUAACUUUCUGUGGAUGCUGUGAGGGAAGGUGCACAGUUAUCUGGUGUUUUGACCUCCUCCUGGCUGAAGAUGAAGGCCCAAAACAGGAUCUUUCCCAGAAGCUGUGUUGCUUUGGCCAGGAAGGUGGCCGGUUGUCUGGAGCCGAAGAUGGCGCCACCUCAGAAGCUCUGUGGCUCUCGCCUGUACCAGAAACGGCUGGCCUCUGUAUUCCACACCGUCACCCGUGCAGGCUACCCUCCGCGGAGUCCCGGAGCCAAGGAGGCUCCCGCCGGGGCCUGAGGCACAAACCUCUAAAAUAAACCUUUAAAAAAAA